UACGGGGGGAGCAAGCGUUGUUCGGAUUUACUGGGCGUAAAGGGCGCGUAGGCGGCCAGCACAAGUCAGUUGUGAAAUCUCCGAGCUUAACUCGGAAAGGUCAACUGAUACUGUGCGGCUAGAGUGCAGAAGGGGCAACUGGAAUUCCUGGUGUAGCGGUGAAAUGCGCAGAUAUCAGGAGGAACACCGGUGGCGAAGGCGGGUCUCUGGGCAACAACUGACGCUGAGGAGCGAAAGCGUGGGGAGCGAACAGG
rnacentral:rRNA from 1 species